AUGGAAAAAAUGUUCAGUUCAGAGUUCAGACGUACCGGUUGGAAGGGGUUCUUGGGGAUCUUGUUGGGCGGCGGAGGGGGGUCGCCGCGGUCGGCGACGAAGCUCCGGCUGCGGGUGACCAGCCGGGGCAUGACGCUGGUGCUCUUCCUGACGGAAGACACCGAGCUGCGCGCCGGCGAGGGGCGCUCCUUGACGGGCGUCCUCUCCUCGAAGCUGAGCGCGAUGGGCCUGACGACCUUGGGCGACGACGCGAGGAGCACCCCACUGGCGCCGCCAUGGUUCUCGGGGCCCCAGGAGCCCCUGCGCGGCGCGGCGGGCUUCCUGGCGGGCUCGGGGGUGCCGACGACGAGCGGGUGUCGCCCGGGAAUCGGCCGGGCGCCGACGACGACGGGGACGGGGGAGCCCGGGUCAAGGCGGUCGACGUGGAGGAACUGGCCGAGGCUGAGCUUGUUGGCGAGGACGAGGUCGGCCUGCGCGGGGGGCAGCGUGGCGUAG
rnacentral:rRNA from 1 species